AUUGAACGCUGGCGGCAUGCUUUACACAUGCAAGUCGAACGGCAGCACGGGAGCUUGCUCCUGGUGGCGAGUGGCGAACGGGUGAGUAAUGCAUCGGAACGUACCUUUCAGUGGGGGAUAACGUAGCGAAAGUUACGCUAAUACCGCAUAUUCUGUGAGCAGGAAAGCAGGGGAUCGCAAGACCUUGCGCUGAUUGAGCGGCCGAUAUCAGAUUAGCUAGUUGGUGAGGUAAAGGCUCACCAAGGCGACGAUCUGUAGCGGGUCUGAGAGGAUGAUCCGCCACACUGGAACUGAGACACGGUCCAGACUCCUACGGGAGGCAGCAGUGGGGAAUUUGGACAAUGGGCGCAAGCCUGAUCCAGCCAUGCCGCGUGAGUGAAGAAGGCCUCGGUUGUAAG
rnacentral:rRNA from 1 species